AGAGUUUGAUCAUGGCUCAGCCUGAACGCUGGCGGCGUGGCUAAGACAUGCAAGUCGCACGGGGUGGCAACACCCAGUGGCGAACGGGAGAGUAAUGAAUCGCUAACGUACCCCGGACUCCGGGAUAGCCGCCCGAAAGGGCGGGUAAUACCGGAUGACACGACGCCCCCGCAUGGGGGUGUUUUCAAAGGUCCGCCGGUCUGGGAGCGGGCGAUUUCGUAUCAGCUAGUUGGUGGGGUAACGGCCCACCAAGGCGACGACGCGUAGCCGGACUGAGAGGUUGGCCGGCCUCAUUGGGACUGAGACACUGCCCAGACUCCUACGGGGGGCUGCAGUAACGAAUCUUCCGCAAUGCACGAAAGUGUGACGGAGCGACGCCGCGUGUGGGACGAAGUCCUUCGGGAUGUAAACCACUGUCAGGGGUUACCAAGUUCUGAGGAGCCCCAGAGGAAGGCACGGCUAACUCUGUGCCAGCAGCCGCGGUAAGACAGAGGUGCCAAGCGUUAGGCGGAAUCACUGGGCUUAAAGCGUGUGUAGGCGGACUCGUAAGUACCUUGUGAAAUCCCACGGCUCAACCGUGGAACUGCUCGGUAUACUGCGUGUCUUGAGCCACUUAGGGGUCGUCGGAACAAACGGUGGAGCGGUGAAAUGCGUAGAUAUCGUUUGGAACGCCAAAGGUGAAAACAGACGACUGGGAGUGUGCUGACGCUGAGACACGAAAGCCAGGGGAGCGAACGGGAUUAGAUACCCCAGUAGUCC
rnacentral:rRNA from 1 species